UUUGGGGUGAGUUGGAAUAAAAUGGUUUAUUUACAUUAAACAGGUUUUCUCAAAG
rnacentral:tRNA from 1 species